rnacentral:tRNA from 1 species
GCAGUGGGGGUUCAAUGAUAGAAUUCUUGCCUUCCACGCAGGAUACAGGGCUCGAUUCCUGCCCAGUGCA